rnacentral:tRNA from 6 species
GGGCGAUUAGCUCAGCGGGAGAGCACUGCCUUCACACGGCAGGGGUCACUGGUUCAAACCCAGUAUCGCCCACCA